GACGAACGCUGGCGGCGUGCCUAAUACAUGCAAGUCGAACGAUGAAGGAGGAGCUUGCUUCUCUGGAUGAGUUGCGAACGGGUGAGUAACGCGUAGGUAACCUGCCUGGUAGCGGGGGAUAACUAUUGGAAACGAUAGCUAAUACCGCAUAAUAUUGACUAUUGCAUGAUAGUCAGUUGAAAGGUGCAACUGCACCACUACCAGAUGGACCUGCGUUGUCUUAGUUAGUUGGUGGGGUAACGGCGCACCAAGGCGACGAUACCUAGCCGACCUGAGAGGGUUGUCAGCCACACUGGGACUGAGACACGGCCCAGACGCCUACGGGAGGCAGCAGUAGGGGAUCUUCGGCAAUGGACGGAAGUCUGACCGAGCAACACCGCGAGAGUGAAGAAGGUUUCCGGAUCGUAAAGCUCUGUUGUCAGAGAAGAACGAGUGUGAGAGUGGAAAGCUCACACCGUGACGGUAUCUUACCAGAAAGGGACGGCUAACUACGUG
rnacentral:rRNA from 1 species